CUCUCUGCAAUGAAAAGUUCCGUUGCAAUCGGCUCGUGGAUUACGGUGAAAACCCCCCUAAUCGCUUCGGCAACCACACCGACAUUAGAGGCAAACCUAAUGACCCCACCGUCAACUUCUACUUCUACAACGUGUCCAGUGGGAGCUGUGAGGGAUUUCACUUCAGAGGAAGUUUGUCCAACGGGAACCUCUUCCAGACCGUGAAGGAGUGUGAAAGUCUCUGUGGUGUCAAAGCUGCUGCAACCAGCUCACCUGCUGUGGUUUCAGCUGCUGUAACCAGCCCACCUGCUGAGGAUCCAGGUACCACGGCAGCCGUUCCUACAAAGUGGAGAGACAUCGUUAUUGGUGUUGUGGUGCUGCUGGUCUGUGUCUGUGUCUGUGUCUGUGUCUGUGUCUGUGUCUUCUACGCUGUGCGAUGCUGCAGAGAGA